GACGGAGGAUGCAAGCGUUAUCCGGAAUUAUUGGGCGUAAAGAGCUCGUAGGCGGUGUGUCGCGUCGGCCGUGAAAACCUGCAGCUUAACUGUGGGCUUGCGGUCGAUACGGGCAUCACUGGAGUUCGGCAGGGGAGACUGGAAUUCCUGGUGUAGCGGUGAAAUGCGCAGAUAUCAGGAGGAACACCGGUGGCGAAGGCGGGUCUCUGGGCCGAUACUGACGCUGAGGAGCGAAAGCGUGGGGAGCGAACAGG
rnacentral:rRNA from 1 species